GCUGACACAUCCCUGCCAAUCUCCGGCAGACCCUCCCUCCCAGACCCUCCCAUCUCCUGGACAGCAUCCAUGUUGAAGCUGCCUUCAACAUGGAUGCUGUCCAGGAAGUAGGAGGGUCUGGGAGGGAGGGUCUGCUGGAGAUUGGCCGGGAUGUGUCAG